AUCCCCCCGGUCGGCCGCGCUCGUUAUUCGGGAGACGCGCUCCCAAACGGCCGCGAGGGAUGAAGCGGACGGACCGUCCGCCCGGGACUUGGCCCCGCAAAGCUCUAGGGCCGUCCCCCAGGAGUCGGCGCGGAGCGCCCCCCAGGGGUCGGCGCGGAGUGCCCCCCGUUGGUCUACGGAGCCCGCCCCCGUCCCCACACCUGCGGCCCAGGAGCAGAGGAGCAGUGACAAGCGGCCGCUGCCGGACGCCUCGGG
rnacentral:lncRNA from 1 species